rnacentral:rRNA from 1 species
GAGAGCUUUCGGAGCUCGGCAUACUGCUCAGUAACACGUGGGUAACCUGCCCUGUGCUGGGGGAUAACCUCGGGAAACUGAGAACAAUACCCCAUAGUCCACUACGCCUGGAACGGUGAGUGGAUGAAAGCCCCGGCGGCACAGGAUGGGCCUGCGGCGUAUCAGGUAGUAGGGGGUGUAAAGUACCCUCUAGCCUUCGACGCGUACGGGUUGUGAGAGCAAUAGCCCGGAGAUGGAUUCUGAGACACGAAUCCAGGUCCUACGGGACGCAGCAGUCGCGAAACCUUGACAAUGCGGGAAACCGUGAUCAGGGGACUCCAAGUGCCAGGAGUAAGAUCCUGUGCUUUUCUUCUCUCUUCAAAGGAUUAGGAAUAAGAGGUGGGUAAGGACGGUGCCAGCCGCCGCGGUAAUACCGGCGCCUCGAGUGGUAGUCGAUUUUAUUGGGCCUAAAACGUCCGUCGCCGGUCUGGUGCAUUCGUGGGUAAAUCAACCCGCUCAACGGGUUGAAUUCUGCGAGCACGGCCAGACUAGGGACCGGGAGAGGUGUGGGGUACGCUCGGGGUAG